rnacentral:rRNA from 1 species
UACGUAGGGUGCAAGCGUUGUCCGGAAUUAUUGGGCGUAAAGAGCUCGUAGGCGGUUUGUCGCGUCUGCUGUGAAAACCCGAGGCUCAACCUCGGGCCUGCAGUGGGUACGGGCAAACUAGAGUGUGGUAGGGGAGAUUGGAACUCCUGGUGUAGCGGUGGAAUGCGCAGAUAUCAGGAAGAACACCGAUGGCGAAGGCAGAUCUCUGGGCCAUUACUGACGCUGAGGAGCGAAAGCGUGGGGAGCAAACAGG